AUGCUCCUACAGCCAAGGAUCUUG
rnacentral:snRNA from 1 species